UGGACUGCUAAUACCUUUCUUGCUCCAUGUGCUGACCAACCUACAUAAGUCAUCGGAACAAUUCUAAUGCACACAUAUAUGAAACAGAGGAUAAAGUCAGUUCCCAAGUAUAAAAAUAAUAGUACUAUAUAACGGUAGUUUGUGGAUAGAAAAUGUGUAUUUUUAUCACUUCAAGCUUCUUACGAAGUUUUUUGUUUCUAAUAUCUGAUUAUAUUGCAAUUCUCAUUAGCAUGGUGGCCGAAACAUGAAGAUAUCAAAAGUGGCUAGUGCAACAAACCAAGCUAAUGUAUGAGAUGGAAUUUUGAAACCUUUUACUUCUCCUUUUCAGUUUUCUUAUGGUUUCACUUUAUUGCAUACUGAUGUUGCACUGCCAUCUGCAGAAACAAGGCAGUACGAUGAAUGGAUUGGGUGCCAACUCGAUAGAUAGUUUGGAAAAUCCGAACAAGAACGUUUCUCUUGGUACACUCCAAAGUAGCGACCCAAAAUAUGCAGUGGAAGACGUUAAACUUGGAAAUCAGUUCUGGGUAGUGCGUGUUGAUGCCACAUUAGCAAAAUCUGAUGAUUUGAUAUGACCACUCAAAAAGGUCAAGAUUAUUGGUCAUGAAGCAACAUUAACUAUCGCAUGGCCUUCAACCUUUAUUUCCAAGAUAACUUGAUGAUGCAUGGUUGAGAUGUUGAUUGAUUGAUGCUAAUCCUGGAUAGAUUAAAUUAGUUUUAGAAUGUCAUUUUAAUUGUCAAUGUUGGGAAGAGAAUAUAUUUGUACUGGUGCAAGUACUAGAUAGUUUGUGUUCUUUGAAUCUUGUUCUUUG